rnacentral:rRNA from 1 species
UACGUAGGGUGCAAGCGUUAAUCGGAAUUACUGGGCGUAAAGCGUGCGCAGGCGGUUAUGUAAGUCAGACGUGAAAUCCCUCGGCUUAACCGGGGAACUGCAUCUGAUACUGGAUGGCUUGAGUUCGGGAGAGGGAUGCGGAAUUCCAGGUGUAGCGGUGAAAUGCGUAGAUAUCUGGAGGAACACCGGUGGCGAAGGCGGCAUCCUGGACCGACACUGACGCUGAGGAGCGAAAGCCAGGGGAGCAAAACGGGG